rnacentral:misc_RNA from 1 species
GAUGAAGAACGUAGCAAAAUGCGAUAAGUAAUGUGAAUUGCAGAAUUCAGUGAAUCAUCGAAUCUUUGAACGCACAUUGCGCCCGCCAGUAUUCUGGCGGGCAUGCCUGUUCGAGCGUCAUUUCAACCCUCAAGCACAGCUUGGUGUUGGGACUCGCGUUAAUUCGCGUUCCUCAAAUUGAUUGGCGGUCACGUCGAGCUUCCAUAGCGUAGUAGUAAAACCCUCGUUACUGGUAAUCGUCGCGGCCACGCCGUUAAACCCCAACCUCUGAAUGUUGACCUCGGAUCAGGUAGGAAUACCCGCUGAACUUAAGCAUAUCAAUAAGCGGAGGA